ACUUUUAAAGGAUAAAAGCUGAUCCAUUGGUCUUAGGAGCCACUCAUCUUGGUGCAAAUCCAAGUAAAAGUA
rnacentral:tRNA from 1 species